rnacentral:lncRNA from 1 species
AUUGUGAUGAGACUGGUGAUAGGAUUAAGGGUGAAAUUCCUAGUAUUAACACCUAUAUGUGAGAUUAUUGUGAUGAGACUUGGCUAUAGGAUUUAGGGCGAAAUUCCAAGUAUAAAUGCCGAUUGUUGAGAUUAUUGUGAUGAGACUUGGUGAUAGGAUUUAGGGAGAAAUUCCAAGUAUAAAAACGCCGAUUGUUGAGAUUAUUGUGAUGAGACUUGGUGAUAGGAUUUAGGGCAAAAUUCCAAUUAUAAAUGCCGAUUGUUGCGAUAGAGAUAAGUGUUUGAAUAUUUUUCUGAUAAGGUAUUCUGCAAUUGUUCUAUGUAUUUUGUAAUUGGUAUAUGUAUCAUGUCACGCAAGGAGGAUUUGGAGAGGAUAUUUGAGUUACAGGAUGUCUUAGACAUUUUGCAGUACCUGGGGAGAGCUAUUAUAUACUGUACUCUGUACCAACUUCUGCCUACAAUUGUAUUACUAAAGGAGUAUUUUAGUACUUAACCUGUCUAGGAACCUGGGACGUUUGCGUCCCGCCCUAGUCAACAGCCAGUGGAAUCGCGUCGCGCGAAAUACAAAUACCUCAUAAAUGCUAUAACUUCAAUUUCUCAAACAUAUGACUCUUUUACACCAUUUUAUAGAUACACCUCUCCUGAAUCGGACCACGUUGUCCGAUUUCAAAAAGGCUUUACAGCAAAAGCAAAACAUUAGAUUAUGUUAGGAGAGUACCAAAAAUAAUCACACUGCCAUUUUCAAAGCAACUAGCAUGCAUCACAAAUACCAAAACCACAGCUAAAUGCAGCACUAACCUUUGACAAUCUUCAUCAGAUGACACUCCUAGGACAUUAUGUUACACAAUACAUGCAUUUUUUGUUCGAUAAAGUUCAUAUUUAUAUAUAAAAACAGCAUUUUACAUCGGCGCGUGACGUUCAGAAAAUAUUUUCCCUCAAAUGCUUCCGAUGAAUUAGCGCUACAAUUUACUAAAUUACUAUUCGAAAACAUUGUUAAAAUGUAAUAUUGUCAUUCAAAGAAUUAUAGAUGAACAUCUCGUGAAUGCAACCGCAUUGCCAGAUUUAAAAAUAACUUUACUGGGAAAUCACACUUUGCAAUAAACGAGGUGCUAUGCUCAGAAAAAUAGGCUAGGUAAUACAGGUUAGCGCCAUCUUGGAACCAUCUAAAAUCAAAUAUACUAUUGUAAAUAUUCUCUUACCUUUGAUUAUCUUCAUCAGAAGGCACUUCCAGGAAUCCCAGGUCCACAACAAAUGUAGUUUUGUUCGAAAAAGUUAAUAAUUUAUGUCCCAAUAGCUCCUUCUUGUUAGCGCGUUCCGAAGGCUACUCAUAAUGUACGAGGCGCGCGGGACUUGUCCUGACGAAUGUGCAAAAAAAUAUAUUUAUGUUCGUUCAAACAUGUCAAACGUUGUAUAACAUAAAUCGUUAGGGCCUUUUUCAAUCAGAGCUUCAAUAAUAUUCAAGGCGGACGAUUGCAUUGUCUUACUAAACGUUUUGGAACGAAAGGGUACCCACGGGCGCCCGCAUCAUAGUAGUAAUGGCCCUCCCCCAUGACCAACUUUCCAGGCCUCUCGUUCGGUCAGUUUUUACCGGAGAAGACUCAAACCACUUUGUAAAGACUGUUGACAUCUAGUGGAAGCCUUAGGAAGUGCUAAAUGAAUCCUAACUCACGGUGUGUUUCAUAGGCAAAGUGUUGAAGGUGAUUCCACAAAUCAGAUUUCCACUUCCUGCAUGGAAUCUUCUCAGGUUUCAUCCUGCCAUAUGAGUUCUGUUAUACUCACAGACACCAUUCAAACAGUUUUAGAAACUUUAGAGUGUUUUCUAUCCAAAUCUACUAAUUAUAUGCAUAUUCUAGUUACUGGGCAGGAGUAGUAACCAUAUUAAAUCGGGUACGUUUUUUAUCCGGGCUGUGCAAAUACUGCCCCCUAGCCCCAACAGGUUUUAAACAAAGAGUCUGUUUCCUUACCAUUACUAAUUUCUGAGUAUGGUAAUUAAAUAGUCCUGAUCAUUUGUUGAAGAAAUUGACCUACAGGCGCUUGGAUUGGAAUCUAAGGAAAUUGAUUCCAAACUAUUGGAACAUAAGGAAAGUUGUUCGAAGGUUACUUAUUCUAAGGUUAAUUGUCUCCUGAAUUUAAAUCUAAGGAAAUUGAUUCCGGAUUAUUGGAACAUAAGGGCAUUUGUUCCAGGGCUAGGAAGCCUAAGGUUUAUUGGCUCCUGAUGUGGAAUCUAAGGAAAUUGAUUCCGGAUUGUUGAAACACAAGGACAUUUGUUCCAGGUAGGCUGUUUGGUAUGCCUUUGGUAGACCAUUUGGUAGAUGGCAUUGUUGCCCACUUGUUAGGCCUUUGGUAGAGCUCUUGGUAGGCCUGUUGUUAGGGCGCUUGGUAGGCUGUUUGUUAAGCCUUUGGUAGAAUGGCAUGGUAGGCGGUUUGUUAAAACUGCAUGGUAGACCACUUAGUAGGUCGUUUGGUAAGCGGAUUGGUAAGCCAUUUGGUAGUCUGUUUGGUAGACCAUUUAGUAGUCCUAAUUAUUGGACCAUAAGGACAUAUGUUCCAGGGUUAAUAAGCCUAAGGUACAUUUGGGUCCUGAAUUGCAAUCUAAGAAAAUUUAUUCUGGAUAUUUGGAACAUGAGGACAUUUGUUCCAGGGUUAGGAAGCCUAACACGGAACCCAAACCGGCUGCGCGCGUGCGCCAUCGUGCACCAUCGUGCAUAAAUGUAUUUUGUCCCCCCACACCAAACACGAUCACGACACGCAGCUUAAAAUAUCAAAACAAACUCUGAACCAAUUACAUUAAUUUGGGGACAGUUAAUUGGCUCCUGAAUUGGAAUCUACAGAAAUUGAUUCCAGAUUGAUUAUUGUUCCAGGGUUAGGAAGCCUAAGGUUAAUUGGCUCCUGAAUUUGAAUCUAAGGAAAUUGAUGGUAGGCUUUUGGUAGGCCAUUUGGUUCUUUUUCUUUAAUUUUCUUCUUCUUCUCCUUCUUCUUCUUCUUCUUGAAAGCCAAAUUGAGGAGUGGGGCCACUGCUCCUUCUUCUUCUUCUGUUUCUGUUUCUUCUUUUAUAAUUUUUCUUCUUCAUCUUCUUCUUCUACCAAACGGAAGGCCCUUUGGUAGGCUGUUUGAUAGGUUGCUUGAUAGUAUGUUUGGUAGGCCUUUGGUAGGCUGAUUGGUAGGGUUUUGGUAGACAGUUUGGUAUGCCUUUGGUAGUCUGUUUAGUAGAGGCAGAAUGAUGCCACCCCUUCUUCUUCAUCAUCAUCUUCUUCUUCUGUUUCUUCUUUUUUUACUUUUUCUCUUUUUUUCCUAUUUUUCUUCUUUCUCUUCUUUUUUUUGUUUUUCUUCUUCUUCUUCUUAAACGUAUUUGUCUAAGAGAGUCCAAUGUCUAAGAGAGUCCAUUGCUCGCUGCGUCCAGAAAGGGUGUCCUUUGCGCAGGUCACUGUUGAAUAAACCCUGGAUGAAUACUAAACAGUGUUCUCAGCUCCAAGAGGUAGUUUUUCUACAACAAUUUUGGAGCCGUGACCCGGAUGGAAGGGAGAUGAACACCUGACUGACCGUCCUGACCAGAACCUAGACAUCUCUUCAGUAUACCACAAAUAGAGGUAAAGGAACCUUUCAAAAGAUAGUCUGUUGUUCGGUCGGGCGGGGCGGAUUAGGCUCUUCCUCUCUCCAUCCAACUAUUGAGGUAAAAUUCUCUUGAUUGUUAAAUGCAUUCUUAGAUAUAUAAACAUAUAUAUGAACUGGUUCAUCAGGUAGGCAGCCUAAGGUUAUUUGGCUUUUGAAUUGGAAUCUAAGAACAUUUAUUCUGGAGUAUUGGAACAUAAGGACAUUUGUUCCAGGAUUAGGAAGCCUAAGGUUAAUUGGCUCCUGAGUUGGAAUCUAAGGAAAUUGAUUCUGGAGUAUUGGAACAUAAGGACAUUUGUUCCAGGGUUAGGAAGCCUAAAGUUAAUUGGCUUCUGAAUUGAAAUCUAAGGAAAUUGAUUCUGUAUAUUUGGAACAUAAGUACAUUUGUUCCAGGGUUAGGAAGCUGAACAUUUAUUGGCUCCUACAUGGGAAUGUAAGGAAAUGUAUUCAGGAUUAUAUGACAUUUGAAGGUUAGAGUAAGUAGGCUGAUAGCAGAGAGCCAAUAGAAUGGGUAAAACAAAAUGAAGAAUAUAUGUGUUCUGAAAGAAAGAUAGUAACUGUUAUUAAUAGUGAUAUUCCCAUAUGGACUGAUAAUCAAUGCCUACACUUGAUAGUUAGGAAUAAUGGGGGGGAAAAAAAUAGUUCCUCCAGGAUACCAUCCGACACCCCAGCGGGAAAAAUACAGGCUGCGUUAGGAAACGCCAAUACAGAUGUACGUACAGUGGUCCAAACGCACGGAUAAAACAUUUCCCGCAUGGCCAGCUAAAGGGUCUGUAAGAGAGAAAGAUAUAACAGCCUUAAAGAAACACAAUGCAGAUACUAAAGGCUACACAUCUCCGGACUACUUAUCAGUAGAUCAAUUCAGUGCAAAAGGUGAACAAAAUAAAUGUCAGCGAAGGGAAGAUAAACUGAGAUAGGAACUAAACCUACAGAAAAAUAUAGACGCAGUGACAAAAAUGUGUCAGGCUCUCAGCUCUUCACCCAUAGCGACCCCCCUGACUAUUCUCCCCCAGCAACAGAGGAUCUCGUUCCAAUAGGAAUCCAUUUCUACACCAAGCUCAGCUCCAGUCCCACGAGGCAGCAUGAUGUCUACCCAAACCUAGAGCUACUAAAAUAUCCCAAGCCCACCCCCCACCCCUAAAAAAAAAGAUCCCCAGCCAAACUAUGACGGCAUUCAGAACUCAUAUGAACAACUCAAUGAACAGCUGGAAGAAGUUACAACACAAAUAGGCAGCACUAAAAAGACACCCAGACCGUGUAAUACUAGAUCUAGCAAAUCCCCACGAGGAAAAGCUCUCAACACCCAUAGAGAAUAGUACCAGUUGUCACAGCUGUCUGGCAAGCAGAUGAAACUUAUAUAGAUGAAGUACGGGAGAGAUUAGUUCACCAUCCAGUCGCCCUUUCUGAGUUAAUGGGUUUUAAACAAAACAUGCCCCUGCUCCGUGACGGAGCUGCCAAAUGGUUUGAACGGGCAAACGACAUUCUCACCGUAUACAGGUGUAACAAGGGGGGCAUGGAACAUGUAUUUAGGACAUAAACAAGCUGCUGAGCUAGUUGUUCUCACUGGAGCCUGUACUCUCUCCCAAGACAAAAUUGCACACAUUGCUUGGAGAAGUCUAUCAAUAUUUUGGUAUGAUUUGGAAGGAGAGAGUUUUCCUUACCAGUUCAGCGUAAAAACAAAGUAACAAACGCACAGUAUAUUGGGCAAUUACUAGAAAGCAUCCAGUUACCCAGAGAACUGGCUAUAAUAAAUGUGAAGCUCACAGCUCUGAUCAGGAUGUUGUUUCAUUAGGUAACGUAUUGAUGCAGCAGCCUAAGCAGCUUCCUGCGUUCCUCUAAGGGUUUCCAGAUGGUCUGUAACUCUCCUCCUGAUCUAACCACUCUUGAUGGCGUUGCACACAUGCAAUCUGACACCCCAUGAAAGGGUACAGUGGCAUUGGAUGGAGGCGGGUUACAAACUACGUGAUGAUGGUCUCUGGCGUCACCAGAGCGGCCGCCAGGUGGCGCCACCAACAUUGUUGCCCUAUCUUGUACUCAUGUUUCACAGAAUUACUCAUGUGUCCAAAACGGGGAUGGUAAGAUUAUGCAAUCAAGAAUGGUUUGCAUCAAAACGUUUGUCAUUAGCAGCACAGAUUUGUGCAAACUGUUUAAUAUGUCUUCCCUGUGGCUCAGUUGGUAGAGCAUGGUGUUUGCAACGCCAGCAUGGUGUGUGCAACACCAGGGUUGUGGGUAAUUGUAAAUGUAAUAUGCCAAAAGCAUAAAACAGUAAAACCAACCACUCGAUUGACUUUGCCAAACCCAUGGGGCCCAUUUGUAAAUAUUCUGAUUGAUAUUGUACAUAAUCAAAUCAAAUUCAAAUUUAUUUUUUAUAUAGCCCUUCGUACAUCAGCUGAUAUUCUCAAAGUGCUGUACAGAAACCCAGCCUAAAACCCCAAACAGCAAGCAAAGCAUGUGAAAGAAGCACGGUGGCUAGGAAAAACUCCCUAGGAAAAACUCCCUAGAAAGGUCAAAAACCUAGGAAGAAACCUAGAGAGGAACCAGGCUAUGAGGGGUGGCCAGUCCUCUUCUGGCUGUGCAGGGUGGAUAUUAUAACAGAACAUGGUCAAAAUGUUAAAAUGUUAAAAUGUCUCCUACUUCCUGGAAAAAUGAAAUACAUGUUAGUUGUAAUAGACACCUAUUCUAAAUGAGGUGGAAGCAUUCUCCUUUAGCAAUGAGGAAGCAAAAAAAUUGUUGUCAAGUGUUUGAUGAAAGACAUUAUUCCCUCGAUUUGUAAUUCUUUGGUGCAACAUUUGCGCACUCCUUACACUGUUAUCUCAAUGAG